UACGGGGGGGGCAAGCGUUGUUCGGAAUUACUGGGCGUAAAGGGCUCGUAGGCGGCCAACUAAGUCGGAUGUGAAAUCCCCAGGCUUAACCUGGGAACUGCAUCCGAUACUGGAUGGCUUGAAUCCGGGAGAGGGAUGCAGAAUUCCAGGUGUAGCGGUGAAAUGCGUAGAUAUCUGGAGGAAUACCGGUGGCGAAGGCGGCAUCCUGGACCGGCAUUGACGCUGAGUGAGCGAACGCCAGGGGAGCAAACGGG
rnacentral:rRNA from 1 species